rfam:Pteropus alecto contig42673, whole genome shotgun sequence.
GUCUACGGCCAUGCCACUCUGAACAAGCCCGAUCCUGUGUGAUCUCGGAAGCUAAGCAGGGUUGGGCCUGGUUAGUACUUGGAUGGGAGACCACCUAGGAAGACCAGGUGCUGUAGGCG